rnacentral:rRNA from 1 species
GCAGUCGAGCGGACCGACGGGAGCUUGCUCCCUUAGGUCAGCGGCGGACGGGUGAGUAACACGUGGGUAACCUGCCUGUAAGACUGGGAUAACUCCGGGAAACCGGGGCUAAUACCGGAUGCUUGAUUGAACCGCAUGGUUCAAUCAUAAAAGGUGGCUUUUAGCUACCACUUGCAGAUGGACCCGCGGCGCAUUAGCUAGUUGGUGAGGUAACGGCUCACCAAGGCGACGAUGCGUAGCCGACCUGAGAGGGUGAUCGGCCACACUGGGACUGAGACACGGCCCAGACUCCUACGGGAGGCAGCAGUAGGGAAUCUUCCGCAAUGGACGAAAGUCUGACGGAGCAACGCCGCGUGAGUGAUGAAGGUUUUCGGAUCGUAAAACUCUGUUGUUAGGGAAGAACAAGUACCGUUCGAAUAGGGCGGUACCUUGACGGUACCUAACCAGAAAGCCACGGCUAACUACGUGCCAGCAGCCGCGGUAAUACGUAGGUGGCAAGCGUUGUCCGGAAUUAUUGGGCGUAAAGCGCGCGCAGGCGGUUUCUUAAGUCUGAUGUGAAAGCCCCCGGCUCAACCGGGGAGGGUCAUUGGAAACUGGGGAACUUGAGUGCAGAAGAGGAGAGUGGAAUUCCACGUGUAGCGGUGAAAUGCGUAGAGAUGUGGAGGAACACCAGUGGCGAAGGCGACUCUCUGGUCUGUAACUGACGCUGAGGCGCGAAAGCGUGGGGAGCGAACAGGAUUAGAUACCCUGGUAGUCCACGCCGUAAACGAUGAGUGCUAAGUGUUAGAGGGUUUCCGCCCUUUAGUGCUGCAGCAAACGCAUUAAGCACUCCGCCUGGGGAGUACGGUCGCAAGACUGAAACUCAAAGGAAUUGACGGGGCCCGCACAAGCG